rnacentral:rRNA from 1 species
UAGGGAAUAUUGGGCAAUGGGCGCAAGCCUGACCCAGCCAUGCCGCGUGUGCGAGGAAGGCCUUCGGGUCGUAAAGCACUUUUAUUCGGGAAGACACGCCCCGUGCGCGGGGCUAUGACGGUACCGAAGGAAUAAGCACCGGCUAACUCCGUGCCAGCAGCCGCGGUAAUACGGAGGGUGCGAGCGUUGUCCGGAUUCAUUGGGUUUAAAGGGUGCGUAGGCGGCCGAAUAAGUCAGGGGUGAAAUACCGCGGCUCAACCGCGGGGCUGCCCCUGAUACUGCUCGGCUUGGGGCCACGGAGGGCAGGCGGAAUUUGCGGUGUAGCGGUGAAAUGCAUAGAUACCGCAAGGAAUGCCGGAGGCGAAGGCGGCCUGCUGCCGUGGAUCCGACGCUGAUGCACGAAAGUGCGGGGAUCGAACAGG